rnacentral:rRNA from 1 species
GUCCAGACUCCUACGGGAGGCAGCAGUGAGGAAUAUUGGUCAAUGGGCGAGAGCCUGAACCGGCCAAGUCGCGUGAGGGAGUACUGCCCUAUGGGUUGUAAACCUCUUUUGUCGGGGAGCAAAAGCCGGACGUGUCCGUCUGUGAGAGUACCCGAAGAAAAAGCAUCGGCUAACUCCGUGCCAGCAGCCGCGGCAAUACGGAGGAUGCGAGCGUUAUCCGGAUUUAUUGGGUUUAAAGGGUGCGCAGGCGGAUUUUUAAGUCAGCGGUCAAAUCGUGGGGCUCAACCCCAUCCAGCCGUUGAAACUGGGGAUCUAGAGUGUGCGAGAGGUAUGCGGAAUGCGUGGUGUAGCGGUGAAAUGCUUAGAUAUUGCGCAGAACUCCGAUUGCGAAGGCAGCAUACCGGCGGCGAUCUGACGCUGAGGCACGAAAGCGUGGGCAUCGAACAGGAUUAGAUACCCCCGUAGUA